rnacentral:rRNA from 1 species
UACGAAGGGGGCUAGCGUUGCUCGGAAUCACUGGGCGUAAAGCGCACGUAGGCGGAUUGCUAAGUCAGGGGUGAAAUCCUGGAGCUCAACUCCAGAACUGCCUUUGAUACUGGCGAUCUUGAGUUCGGGAGAGGUGAGUGGAACUCCGAGUGUAGAGGUGAAAUUCGUAGAUAUUCGGAAGAACACCAGUGGCGAAGGCGGCUCACUGGCCCGAUACUGACGCUGAGGAGCGAAAGCAUGGGGAGCGAACAGG